GACGAACGCUGGCGGCGUGCCUAAUACAUGCAAGUAGAACGCUGAAGGAGGAGCUUGCUUCUCUGGAUGAGUUGCGAACGGGUGAGUAACGCGUAGGUAACCUGCCUGGUAGCGGGGGAUAACUAUUGGAAACGAUAGCUAAUACCGCAUAAGAGUAGAUGUUGCAUGACAUUUGCUUAAAAGGUGCAAUUGCAUCACUACCAGAUGGACCUGCGUUGUAUUAGCUAGUUGGUGAGGUAACGGCUCACCAAGGCGACGAUACAUAGCCGACCUGAGAGGGGGAUCGGCCACCCUGGGACUGUGACACGGCCCAGACUCCUACGGGAGGCAGCAGUAGGGAAUCUUCGGCAAUGGACGGAAGUCUGACCGGGCAACGCCGCGUGCGUGAAGAAGGUUUUCGGAUCGUGAAGCUCGGUUGUCAGAGAAGAACGAGUGUGAGAGUGGAAAGUUCACACUGUGACGGUAUCUUACCAGAAAGGGACGGCUAACUACGUG
rnacentral:rRNA from 1 species